rnacentral:lncRNA from 1 species
GAACCAAUAUGCAAUGUGUGUGUGUGUGUGUGUGUGUGUGUGUGUGUGUUUGUAUGUGUGUGUGGUGGGGGGAGCUCAGACAGAGCUGUGUGUCUGAUAGUUUAUACAGUCUAGUCCUGUUACACCAGAAUGGCACAGCCACUCUGAGAUCACACAGAGCAAUCACUACAGCUCAGAUAAAGGUGAUCCCCUCAUUCCAUCACUAACUUCUAAUAUAGAACACCCAGUGCUGUGAAUCAAUGGGCUCUGCAAGAACAAGUCUAUCACUCCUCCAGCAAAAGGGAAGCAUAGCACUAUGUAUCUACUUAAAUCUGGACUUCUGAUGUCUCUAAGCCACCUGCCUGCACAGUGAUUGGAGAGGGGAGAUUGCCUGUUGCUGAUCCACAGAGAAGCUGACUAAUUGCACUGUUGUUGCUGUGCACUUUUAAAGGACAUAUUUCACAAUUUAUACAGAUGCACCUGAUUUGGGGGAAACAGGGACUCUGUUGAAGGCAGGGACAGGAUAAAUAAUUUUGUCCAUUCUGCCAGGUGGAUAGAAUACCUGAAGACUCUAGCGCUCUCUUAGCACCAGAGUGGGGCAUCUUACCUGGACCUCCCUUCUUAUCAGGUGUAUGCAGAGAUGUGAAGAAUUUUGGAACCAUCAAGAGACAACAAUGACACACAGACAGGUAGGUUGGUAUCAGAAAUGAGUUCCCCCAUUACAAUAGAUACAAUAUUACAAUGAGAAAAUACAAUGAGAGCAGACACAUAGG